AUUGAACGCUGGCGGUAGGCCUAACACAUGCAAGUCGAACGGCAGCACAGUAAGAGCUUGCUCUUACGGGUGGCGAGUGGCGGACGGGUGAGGAAUACAUCGGAAUCUCCUUUUUCGUGGGGGAUAACGUAGGGAAACUUACUCUAAUACCGCAUACGACCUACGGGUGAAAGCAGGGGAUCUUCGGACCUUGCGCGAUUGAAUGAGCCGAUGUCGGAUUAGCGAGUUGGCGGGGUAAAGGCCCACCAAGGCGACGAUCCGUAGCUGGUGUGAGAGGAUGAUCAGCCAAACUGGAAACGAGACACGGUCCAGACUCCUACGGGAGGCAGCAGUGGGGAAUAUUGGACAAUGGGCGCAAGCCUGAUCCAGCCAUACCGCGUGGGUGAAGAAGGCCUUCGGGUUGUAAAGCCCUUUUGUUGGGAAAGAAAAGCAGCAGGUUAAUACCCCGCUGUUCUGACGGUACCCAAAGAAUAAGCACCGGCUAACUUCGUG
rnacentral:rRNA from 1 species